rnacentral:rRNA from 1 species
GUGGGGAAUAUUGGGCAAUGGGGGAAACCCUGACCCAGCGACGCCGCGUGAGGGAAGAAGGCCUUAGGGUCGUAAACCUCUGUUGUGUGGGAAGAAGAGCGUGACGGUACCACACGAGGAAGUCCCGGCUAACUACGUGUCAGCAGCCGCGGUAAUACGUAGGGGACGAGCGUUGUCCGGAUUUACUGGGCGUAAAGGGCGCGUAGGCGGUCAUUUAAGUCAGCUGUGAAAUGGUUUGGCUUAACCGGAUCAUGCGGUUGAAACUGGAUGACUGGAGUGCUGGAGAGGCAAGUGGAAUUCCCAGUGUAGCGGUGAAAUGCGUAGAUAUUGGGAAGAACACCGGUGGCGAAGGCGACUUGCUGGCCAGCAACUGACGCUGAGGCGCGAAAGCCAGGGGAGCAAACGGGAUUAGAUACCCUUGUAGUCC